UCGGUAUGUCGCGGCCAAGAUUUCGGCCUC
rnacentral:sRNA from 1 species